UCAGGACGAACGCUGGCGGCGUGCUUAACACAUGCAAGUCGGACGGUCCGCAUAUUGAAAGCUUGCUGGAUAUGUGCGGAUAGUGGCGGACGGGUGAGUAACGCGUGAAGGACCUGCCCUGGGGAGGGGGAUACCGUCUGGAAACGGACGUUAAUACCCCGUAAGCCGGGAGGUGAAAGGCUCAUAAAUGGGCUGCCCUGGGGGGGAUUCGCGUCCUAUCAGCUAGUUGGUGGGGUAACGGCUCACCAAGGCGAAGACGGGUAGCCGGUCUGAGAGGAUGGACGGCCACACUGGAACUGAGACACGGUCCAGACUCCUACGGGAGGCAGCAGUGGGGAAUAUUGGGCAAUGGGCGAAAGCCUGACCCAGCGACGCCGCGUGAGGGAAGAAGGCCUUUGGGUUGUAAACCUCUGUUGUACGGGAAGAAGGAAGUGACGGUACCGUACGAGCAAGCCCCGGCAAACUACGUGCCAGCAGCCGCGGUAACACGUAGGGGGCGAGCGUUGUCCGGAAUUACUGGGCGUAAAGGGCACGCAGGCGGAUAUGUAUGUUUGUUGUGAAAUGUCAGGGCUCAACCCUGGAGUUGCGGCAGAAACUGCAUAUCUGGAGUACUGGAGAGGGAAGCGG
rnacentral:rRNA from 1 species